rnacentral:misc_RNA from 1 species
CCGAGUUCUAAACUCAUCAACCCAUUGUGAACAUACCUAAAUUGUUGCUUCGGCGGUAACAGACGGCCUGUAACAACGGGCCGCCCCGCCAGAGGACCCUUAACUCUUGUUUUCCUAGUGACUACUCUGAGUAAAAGCUUGAAAUAAAUCA